rnacentral:rRNA from 1 species
UACGAAGGGGGCUAGCGUUGUUCGGAUUUAUUGGGCGUAAAGAGCGUGUAGGCGGCUAGAUAGGUCCGUUGUGAAAACUCGAGGCUCAACCUCGAGACGUCGAUGGAAACCAUCUGGCUAGAGUCCGGAAGAGGAGAGUGGAAUUCCUGGUGUAGCGGUGAAAUGCGCAGAUAUCAGGAAGAACACCCGUGGCGAAGGCGGCGCUCUGGUACGUGACUGACGCUGAGACGCGAAAGCGUGGGGAGCAAACAGG